UCGAACGAUGAAGCCCUUCGGGGUGGAUUAGUGGCGAACGGGUGAGUAACACGUGGGCAAUCUGCCCUUCACUCUGGGACAAGCCCUGGAAACGGGGUCUAAUACCGGAUACCACUCCUGCCUGCAUGGGCGGGGGUUGAAAGCUCCGGCGGUGAAGGAUGAGCCCGCGGCCUAUCAGCUUGUUGGUGGGGUAAUGGCCUACCAAGGCGACGACGGGUAGCCGGCCUGAGAGGGCGACCGGCCACACUGGGACUGAGACACGGCCCAGACUCCUACGGGAGGCAGCAGUGGGGAAUAUUGCACAAUGGGCGAAAGCCUGAUGCAGCGACGCCGCGUGAGGGAUGACGGCCUUCGGGUUGUAAACCUCUUUCAGCAGGGAAGAAGCGAAAGUGACGGUACCUGCAGAAGAAGCGCCGGCUAACUACGUGCCAGCAGCCGCGGUAAUACGUAGGGCGCAAGCGUUGUCCGGAAUUAUUGGGCGUAAAGAGCUCGUAGGCGGCUUGUCACGUCGGAUGUGAAAGCCCGAGGCUUAACCUCGGGUCUGCAUUCGAUACGGGCUAGCUAGAGUGUGGUAGGGGAGAUCGGAAUUCCUGGUGUAGCGGUGAAAUGCGCAGAUAUCAGGAAGAACACCGGUGGCGAAGGCGGAUCUCUGGGCCAUUACUGACGCUGAAGAGCGAAAGCGUGGGGAGCGAACAGGAU
rnacentral:rRNA from 1 species